UCUUUCUUGAGUUAUUAUUUGUGUAUAUUUCACAAUGGGGGAAACCCUGAUGCAGCGACGCCGCGUGAGUGAAGAAGUAUUUCGGUAUGUAAAGCUCUAUCAGCAGGGAAGAAGAAAGACGGUACCUGACUAAGAAGCCCCGGCUAACUACGUGCCAGCAGCCGCGGUAAUACGUAGGGGGCAAGCGUUAUCCGGAUUUACUGGGUGUAAAGGGAGCGUAGACGGCUGUGCAAGUCUGAAGUGAAAGCCCAGGGCUCAACCCUGGGACUGCUUUGGAAACUGUGGAGCUAGAGUGCUGGAGAGGU
rnacentral:rRNA from 1 species